CGGAGGAAAAGAAACCAACAGGGAUUGCCUCAGUAACGGCGAGUGAAGCGGCAAAAGCUCAAAUUUUAAAGCUGGCAUCUUCGGUGUCCGCGUUGUAAUUUUGUGAGGCAUCUCCGGGUAGGGCGCCGGCCUAAGUUCCUUGGAACAGGACGUCAUAGAGGGUGAGAAUCCCGUGCUUGGCUGGCUGUCCCCGUCCAUGUGAGGUGUCUUCGACGAGUCGAGUUGUUUGGGAAUGCAGCUCAAAAUGGGUGGUAAAUUUCAUCUAAAGCUAAAUAUUGGUGGGAGACCGAUAGCGCACAAGUAGAGUGAUCGAAAGAUGAAAAGCACUUUGAAAAUAGAGUUAAAAAGUACGUGAAAUUGUUGAAAGGGAAGCGCUUGAGACCAGACUUCGGUAGGGAGUGAUCAGCUGUCCUUCUGGGCGGUGCACUUGCUCCCCUCCGGGCCAGCAUCGGUUGGGACGGCGGGAUAAAGGUCCCGGGAAUGUGGCUCCUUUCGGGGAGUGUUAUAGCCCGGGUGAAUGCCGCCAGCCCCGACCGAGGACCGCGCCUUCGGGCUAGGAUGCUUGGCAUAAUGGUCUUCAGCGACCCGUCU
rnacentral:rRNA from 1 species